CAAUAGCGUAUAUUAAAGUUGUUGCGGUUAAAAAGCUCGUAGUUGGAUUUCUGCUGAGAACGACCGGUCCGCCCUUUGGGUGUGUAUCUGGCUCUUUCUUGGCAUCUUCUUGGUGAACGUUGCUGCACUUGACUGUGUGGAGCGCUACCCAGGACUUUUAUUUUGAGGAAAUUAGAGUGUUUCAAGCAGGCAUACGCCUUGAAUACAUUAGCAUGGAAUAAUAAGAUAGGACCUCGGUUCUAUUUUGUUGGUUUCUAGAGCUGAGGUACUGAUUAAUAGGGAUAGUUGGGGGCAUUCGUAUUUAACUGUCAGAGGUGAAAUUCUUGGACUUGUUAAAGACGGACUACUGCGAAAGCAUUUGCCAAGGAUGUUUUCAUUGA
rnacentral:rRNA from 1 species